GGAAACGCUACUCCCGAUAAAUUAUUUCGAUUUCCUUUGAAUCUGAAUCAUUAUUUUACCUUUGCAUAUAUUUGUUCACAUUGAAAAAGUUCUGGUGUUCAUAGUAGUACUGAUUCUACGUGAUUUCGAAAUGUAUUCUAACUACUAGCAUAUAUCAUUUGCAUAUUUUAAUUACAUACAAAAUACUUAGGUAUUAGAUAUCAGAAUAUAAUCAAAGAACAUUAUAAGUAGAUAUAAGUAGAUAACUAAGCAAACUAAUAAUUGUUAACUAGAUAAAUAAAAUAAUAAUUAUAAAAAAGCAGUAUAAUAAUACAUUCUUUGCAAUGGCAUUUCUACAAGAACAAAACAAAUACAUGCGUGUCGGCAGAAACAGAUAUCAGAUGCAAUAGGCAGCUGGAUCAUAGGUCGGCAACUCUGUGUUUGAAGAAGUAGAUAACUUUAAAUAUUUGGAUACCAACCUAGGUAGUAAAAACGAUAACCAUGAAGAAUUUAAAAAAUGCAUUAUAUCGGAGGGGGGACACAUGUUUCUACACCCUCUCUGGGUUAUUGUGGUAGAAGAUACUGUCGAAGAAAUGAAAAGAGAGACUUUAAGAGUAUUAGCGAGAGCAAUGAUAAUAUACCCAUGUGAGACUCAGGGAGAUGAAAAAAAACUUGAUAUCAUAGAAAAAAAAAUCCUAGAAGGAUCUCUGAACCUAAAGAAAAUUUUUAAAUUUUUUUUUUAACAAUAUGCAUAUUGUCGAUUCAAGAAUGAUGGUGAAGGUGGAAUUGAGCGGACUGACUAAGUUUCGAAAUUAUUGCUUUUUGAUGUUCUCAUUUGUAUUAGGAUAAUAUAUGUUUUAUUAAAUAAUAAUAAUAAUUCUGUAUUGUCUACUCUCGAAUAUGAAGUGUAGCUUAUUUUCUGAAAGAAAAUUUUUUCUCUAUAGUAACUUAGGG